GCGCACGGGUGAGUACACGUGACUAAUCUACCCUCGAGCGGGGAAUAACCUAGGGAAACCUGGGGUAAUUACCGCAUAAUCCCUACGGGGCAAAGGAAGCAAUUCCACUUGAGGAGGAGGUCGCGGCCGAUUAGCUAGUUGGCGGGGUAAUGGCCCACCAAGGCAAUGAUCGGUAUCCGGCCUGAGAGGGCGCACGGACACACUGGAACUGAAACACGGUCCAGACUCCUACGGGAGGCAGCAGUGGGGAAUUUUGCACAAUGGACGAAAGUCUGAUGCAGCAACGCCGCGUGGGGGAUGAAGCUUUUCGGAGUGUAAACCCCUUUCGACCCGGAAGAAAGCCCGCAAGGGUUUGACGGUACGGGUAUAAGAAGCCCCGGCUAACUACGUGCCAGCAGCCGCGGUAAAACGUAGGGGGCCAGCGUUGCUCGGAAUUACUGGGCGUAAAGGGUCCGUAGGCGGUGUGGCAAGUCGGUAGUGAAAUCUCUGGGCUUAACCCAGAGGCUGCUGCCGAAACUGCCGUGCUAGAGUGUGAGAGAGGCGAGUGGAAUUACGGGUGUAGCGGUGAAAU
rnacentral:rRNA from 1 species